rnacentral:lncRNA from 1 species
AAGAAGCAAUUGGACCAUUUCUGAAUUGAGCAUCAGCCCAAACAAUCACGCCAAAUAGCUCAAUCCCGUCCACUAACCCGACCCGGUUCCUGAACGAGGCCCAACGACAUUGUUUCCAGAAGCAAUCCCAGCCCUCAAUUCUUGAUCUAACGGUCGAGAUCAUCCUAUAAUGUCUUAUAUAAAUAUGUCUGAAUGCUCUCCCUCCCAUUUCCUCGUCUUCCUCACCCUACCCUUCCUAUCAAACCUUAAUCCAAGCUGCCACCAAACCCCACCGCCUGAGGGUGGUGGCGGCCCCUCCAACCACUCCAAAAUUAACGUCACAACUACCUCUCAUUUCCCUCAUCACUAAUCCCCCACCAUAUUCCCUCGAAUCAAACCUAGAAGCUUCGAAUAUAUGUUUGAAACUCUGGUCUCAAAACAUAAACUUGUCUAAAUGAGCCCAAAUUGAUAUUAGACAGUCUCCUCAACCUCCUCUUCUUAAAUAUGAGGUUAUUUUCCUUCGACUCUCACCAGGCCGCCCUCAAUUCCACAUCUAGGGUUUUCGACUUUUAUGCUUGUUUGAAGUUUUUGGUUCUGAAGAUUUUAGUUAAUGUUAUACGUUUGUUUUGGACAAAACUAACCUAUAACAUUAAUUAGAAUUCAACUCCAUAAAUCGAAUAAAUUUUAAGAGCCAUUCAGUAAGUCACUUUCUCAUUUUUAGUUUCAAUUUAGUUCGCUUCUUGUUCUAUCUUCUAAUUAAGCGUAAUCUUUAGUUUCCGAAUAUUUUAGUUAGUAAAUUGGUUGCAAGUAAUUUUUUCAGUUAGAUUAUUAGUAAAGUAUUGGGUAUAAUAUUAGAUUACGCUUGUUUCUGAUUAAUUCAUAGUUUAAUUUUCAUUUUUGUCUAGUUUGUUUGAUUUUUGUCUUGUUUAAAUUCUAGUUGGUCAGUUAUCAGUAUAAUCGUUAGGAGUUAAUUUAGGUUUAUUUAGCUUAGUUGAUUAGUUUCAGUAGAAUAACCUUGUUGAAAACUGUUGAGUCUUGUUAAAUUUGCAGUCAGAUAUUGUUUUCAACUUCAUAUUAUUUUACCUUGAUUCUGUGAUAGUUAAUUCAAUUGUUAGGAUAAUUAAUUUUCAGUUUAGUUAAUAUCAGUUGGGACUGAUUUUGGUUACAGUUGAAUUGGUUUUUGUUGGGUAGUAAUUUCAGGGGGGGGGGGGUUCAAGGGUAGUUUAGGGAUGGAAAAUGGUAGUUUCUUUAGGAAUAGUAAAUUCAAGGUAGGGUUAAGGGUAGUAUAGUAUUUCUUAGGCUAAAAGAGCACCCUAGAGCCUUCUAGAAGGGUGUCUUAGUGUAGGUUUCAGCAAAUUAGAGGGACUUGCUUAUUUAGCAAGUCAAAAAUAGAGGGACUAAAAAGAAAACCCUAAAAUCUGAUUUACUCUCUUUAGGUUUGCCUAUAACUAGUGAGUCAUUUGCUUUGUGAAGAGGAUCUUCAACCUUUCAGCGUAAAAUAUCCCCAUAAGAGCUCUUUUUCUUUCUCUCCAGAAGUCAUAUUAGUAAUUCCAAUACAAAAAAAGAGGCAAAAUAAAUUAGAAAACAAAUAGAAGAAAAUCAUUGUUUUAUUGAAUGAACAUGGAUUGAUUCUGGUUGCUAGUGAAUUUCUUUACAUUUUCGUUUUAACUGAGUUGGGUUUCUGGUGGUUUGGUUUAGUGUAUUUUCAGACCACUCGGGUGCAAAUUGAUUUAGUUUUGGUUGGUUUUUUCACAUUUGCAUUUGCGUAUUGUGUGUUGCUGGGUUCAAUUGACAAUAGUCUAAGGUUGUUUGUUACUCAUUCCUGUUGUUGCUGUGAUAACAGGCGGCUGACCUUUCUCAUUUGAUUUUGUUUGAAUCCAGGGACACACUCACGUUUCUUUAAUGUAGCACCCUGAUUGAAAGAAAAACAUGUUUGCAAUGAAGUGUGCAGAGUUUUUCUUUAAAUCUGACUGCUGUGAUAACAAGCUGCUGACAUUUCUCAUUUGAUUUUGUUUGAAUCCGGGUAUACACUCACGUUUCUUCAAUGUAACACCCUGAUUGAAAGAAAAACAUGUUUGCAAUGAAGUGUGCAGAGUUUUUCUUUAAAUCUGAUUGUGCCUAAUAUGUGAAUGGUUGGUCUAUCAUUAAGAAAUUAGCUUCAGUUGGUCUAGUUAGCUUCUGUUAUUAAUUUUGAUUUUGAAGUUUGUGUUUAGGAACAAUGUUAUAUGGUUAGAAUGGAUCAUGGAUUGUGUAGAACUCUAUACUGGGAAUUCGAGUUAAUACUUUAGUCUUAGUUAGUUUUGUUUUAGCUUUGAUUGGUUAUUGUAUAAUCUCCUGCUAAAAUUAGAGAAAAGGUUGAAACAUGGUUUGAAAUUGCAGUAGUUCUUUUUCAAAAUCAAUAGUUGGUUGAAUGUGUUAUUAAACAAUUGAAAUAUGAAACUAGGUCUGUUAAUUAUGAUAGACAAAUAUGGUUUAAUUGUAGUGAUUAUUUUGGUUGAUUAAUUGUUGACCAUGCUUUAGAAAUCACAUUC